CCUCCAUUUCUUGACAUGCAUGUGGUUGUUUGGUACUCAUGUGUGGUAUGUACGGAGGAAAAAUAAAUGCAGUGUUAUGUCUUCGGUGCUGGUAUGUAUUUUAAAGUCUGCCAGUUCUAUCCUCAAUCGCUGCUACAUUC